rnacentral:rRNA from 1 species
UCUUAGUGGCGGACGGGUGAGUAACGCGUGGGUAACCUGCCUUAUACAGGGGGAUAACACUUAGAAAUAGGUGCUAAUACCGCAUAAGCGCACGGGGCUGCAUGGCCCAGUGUGAAAAACUCCGGUGGUAUAAGAUGGACCCGCGUCUGAUUAGCUUGUUGGCGGGGUAACGGCCCACCAAGGCGACGAUCAGUAGCCGGCCUGAGAGGGUGGACGGCCACAUUGGGACUGAGACACGGCCCAAGCUCCUACGGAAGGCAGCAG